rnacentral:ncRNA from 2 species
GGUCAUGAGCGCCAGCGUCAAGCCCCGGCUUGCUGGCCGGCAACCCUCCAACCGCGGUGGGGUGCCCCGGGUGAGGACCUGGCCGGUCGCGCAGGGCGACCCGGCAAGCGCGGGCC